rnacentral:rRNA from 1 species
GCUCAUCAGGUCUGGUGUGAAAAUGCAGGGCCUAACUCUGCAAAUGCGCUGGAAACUGGUGGGCUUGAGUUCUUGAGGGGAAGCUGGAAUUCCAGGUGUAGGGGUGAAAUCUGUAGAUAUCUGGAAGAACACCGGUGGCGAAGGCGAGCUUCUAUCAGAGGACUGACGCUGAGGCGCGAAAGCGUGGGGAGCAAACAGGAUUAUAUACCCUGGUAGUCCACGCUGUAAACGAUGUGCACUAGGCGUGGGGCCCGUACGGGUUCUGUGCCGUAGUUAACGUGUUAAGUGCACCGCCUGGGGAGUAUGCUCGCAAGGGUGAAACUCAAAGGAAUUGACGGGGGCCCGCACAAGCGGUGGAGCAUGUGGUUUAAUUCGAUGGUACACGAGGAACUUUACCAGGGCUUGACAUGUGCGUGAAUGUUCACGAGAGUGGGCAGCCCCGCAAGGGGCGCGCACACAGGUGCUGCAUGGCUGUCGUCAGCUCGUGUCGUGAGAUGUUGGGUUAAGUCCCGCAACGAGCGCAACCCUUACUGCCAGUUGCCAACAGGUUGUGCUGGGCACUCUGGCGGAACUGCCGGUGACAAAC